AAGGGACCUAGCGUAGUUCGGAAUUACUGGGCUUAAAGAGUUCGUAGGUGGUUGAAAAAGUUGGUGGUGAAAUCCCAGAGCUUAACUCUGGAACUGCCAUCAAAACUUUUCAGCUAGAGUAUGAUAGAGGAAAGCAGAAUUUCUAGUGUAGAGGUGAAAUUCGUAGAUAUUAGAAAGAAUACCAAUUGCGAAGGCAGCUUUCUGGAUCAUUACUGACACUGAGGAACGAAAGCAUGGGUAGCGAAAAGGAUUAGAUACCCUCGUAGUCCAUGCCGUAAACGAUGUGUGUUAGACGUUGGAAAUUUAUUUUCAGUGUCGCAGGGAAACCGAUAAACACACCGCCUGGGGAGUACGACCGCAAGGUUAAAACUCAAAUGAAUUGACGGGGACCCGCACAAGUAGUGGAGCAUGUGGUUUAAUUCGAAGAUACGCGCAGAACCUUACCAACACUUGACAUGUUCGUCGCGACUCUAAGAGAUUAGAGUUUUCGGUUCGGCCGGACGAAACACAGGUGCUGCAUGGCUGUCGUCAGCUCGUGUCGUGAGAUGUUGGGUUAAGUCCCGCAACGAGCGCAACCCUCACUUUUAGUUGCCAUCAUUAAGUUGGGCACUCUGAAAGAACUGCCAGUGAUAAGCUGGAGGAAGGUGGGGAUGACGUCAAGUCCUCAUGGCCCUUAUGUGUUGGGCUACACACGUGCUACAAUGGCAUCUACGACAGGAAGCAAAACGGCAACGUUAAGCAAAUCCCGAAAAGAUGCCUCAGUUCGGAUUGCACUCUGCAACUCGAGUGCAUGAAGCUGGAAUUACUAGUAAUCGUGGAUCAGCGUGCCACGGUGAAUGCGUUCCCGGGUCUUGUACACACCGCCCGUCACACCAUGGGAGUUGGUUCUACCUUAAGGCAAGGUUUUAAACCCUUGACCACGGUAUAGUCAGCGACUGGGGUGGAGUCGUAACAAGGUAGCCGUAGGGGAACCUGCGGCUGGAUUACCUCCUUUCUAAGGAUGAGUGAAAGUAAAAUUUCACUCUAAAUAAUAUACAUCGGUAAUGUUGACCGUCCUCAUUUCUCUUCUUAAAGUAAUGUUUCCUUCUUGUAGGGCCGGUAGCUCAGUUGGUUAGAGCACACCCUUGAUAAGGGUGGGGUCGAAAGUUCGAGUCUUUCUCGGCCCACCAAAACCUAAAUGGGGGAUUAGCUCAUCUGGGAGAGCGCCUGAUUUGCAUUCAGGAGGUAGCAGGUUCGAUCCCUGUAUCCUCCACCAGGAAACAUUUAGUUAUUAAAACUGUAAAUAAAAAUAAUUUAUAUCAAUAUCUAUAUCCGAACAUUAAAAGUUAUUAUUUAAUGUUCAAAAUAAAAAUUUGAUCACAACAUAGAUAAAUUUUCUUUUUAAAAAGAAUUUUUUUCUGUGCAUAAAUCAAGCGUUUAAGGGCGUGUAGUGGAUGCCUUGGCACUGAAAGCCGAUGAAGGACGUGAUAUACUGCGAUAAGUUUCGGGGAGCUGUAUGUAAGCUUUGAUCCGAAAAUUU
rnacentral:sRNA from 1 species